AUUUACUAGAACUCGAGAUCCAUAGAUUCGUGUCUAUACGCUUUAAGUGAAUCGAUUGUAUAUAUCUUUUUAAUAGCUCGAGCUUGAGAUCCGUAGAUGCUGUAUUUGUAUGCUUUAAGUGAAUUGGUUUUAUUUUUUUUUAAUAGCUCAAUCUUUUUGAAUUUUUAUGGCUAGCGUCAACGAUCCAACAAGUGGUAUCAGAGCCUUCAUGGUUAGCACCAACGAUCCGACAAGCAAUAUUAGAGUCAGAAGUCAUAAAUUCGAUUUUUGUAUGCUGCAAAUUUAUACAAAUAUAGGGGAGAAGGAGAUUGUUGGUUUCAAAGGACCAGCAUUUUGUCAUAUGGCAAGAGGUCAAAUUGGGCUAAAUCAUGUUCGAAGUGGCGAGAGGCUGGUUGGGCUAUAGAGAUUCGAGAGCACGGUAUCUAUAUACAUCAUAAUUGAAACGUUGUACGCUUUAAUUGAAUAGUUGUAUCUUUCUAACAGUUUGAUCUUUUGGAAUUAAUGGUUAACACCAACGAUACGACAACUACCGUUACAGAUUAUUAAUAUACCGACUGUUAUAAUGUAAAAAAUUUUAAUUGGCCUAUGUGUGCAGUCAAAAGA
rnacentral:lncRNA from 1 species